rnacentral:rRNA from 1 species
UACGGAGGGUGCGAGCGUUAUUCGGAAUUACUGGGCGUAAAGCGCGUGUAGGCGGCCAACCAAGUCUGAUGUGAAAGCCCUGGGCUUAACCUGGGAAGUGCAUUGGAAACUGGCUGGCUUGAGUACUGGAGAGGAAGGGGGAAUUCCCGGUGUAGAGGUGAAAUUCGUAGAGAUCGGGAGGAAUACCAGUGGCGAAGGCGCCCUUCUGGACGGUUACUGACGCUGAGACGCGAAAGCGUGGGGAGCAAACAGGAUUAGAAACCCCUGUAGUCC